ACGGAAGGCAGCAGUGGGGAAUAUUGCACAAUGGGCGAAAGCCUGAUGCAGCGACGCCGCGUGAGUGAAGAAGUAUCUCGGUAUGUAAAGCUCUAUCAGCAGGGAAGAAAAUGACGGUACCUGACUAAGAAGCCCCGGCUAACUACGUGCCAGCAGCCGCGGUAAUGCGUAGGGGGCAAGCGUUAUCCGGAUUUACUGGGUGUAAAGGGAGCGUAGACGGUUUGGCAAGUCUGAAGUGAAAUGCGGGGGCUCAACUCCUGAACUGCUUUGGAAACUGUCGAACUAGAGUGCAGGAGAGGUAAGUGGAAUUCCUAGUGUAGCGGUGAAAUGCGUAGAUAUUAGGAGGAACACCAGUGGCGAAGGCGGCUUACUGGACUGUAACUGACGUUGAGGCUCGAAAGCGUGGGGAGCAAACAGGAUUAGAUACCCUGGUA
rnacentral:rRNA from 1 species